GCUUACGGCCAUACCACUCUGACAAAGCCUGAUCUCAUCUGAUCUCGGAAGCAAAGCAGAGUAGGGCCUGGUUAGUACUUGGUUGGGAGACUGAAUGGGAAUACUAGGUGCUGUAAGCU